rnacentral:miRNA from 1 species
AGUGGGGUUUCGACCCUAACC